rnacentral:rRNA from 1 species
UGGUCAAGUUAUUAAGGGUGCAGGGCGGAUGCCUUGGCACUAGGAGCCGAUGAAGGACGUGAUAAGCUGCGAUAAGCUUCGGGGAGUUGCACGUAAACUUUGAUCCGAAGAUUUCCGAAUGAGGAAACUCACUUAGAGUAAUGUCUAAGUAUCAUUAAGUGAAUACAUAGCUUAAUGAGGGGAACUCAGGGAACUGAAACAUCUAAGUACCUGAAGGAAGAGAAAGAAAUUCGAUUCCGUAAGUAGCGGCGAGCGAACGCGGAUUAGCCCAAACCAAUAAAGUUUUCUUUGUUGGGGUUGCGGACAUAUCAUAACGAAGAGGUAUCGUAAUUGAAGAGGUUUGGAAAGACCCACCACAGAAGGUAAUAGUCCUGUAUGUUAAACGAGAAGACUUUAGAUAUGAUCCAGAGUACCACGGGACACGUGAAACCCUGUGGGAAGCAGGAGGGACCACCCUCCAAGGCUAAAUACUACCUAGUGACCGAUAGCGUAUAGUACCGUGAGGGAAAGGUGAAAAGAACCCCGGGAGGGGAGUGAAAUAGAACCUGAAACCCUGCACUUACAAGCUGUGGAAGCACAUUUCUUGUGUGACCGCGUACUUUUUGUAGAACGGGCCAACGAGUUACGUUAAGUAGCAAGGUUAAGCACUUAAGGUGUGGAGCCGUAGCGAAAGCGAGUUUUAACUGAGCGUUCAGUUACUUGACGUAGACCCGAAACCGGGCGACCUACCCAUGAGCAGGAUGAAGCGAAAGUAAAAUUUCGUGGAGGUCCGAACCCACGAGCGUUGAAAAGCUCGGGGAUGACUUGUGGGUAGCGGUGAAAUUCCAAUCGAGCCCGGAGAUAGCUGGUUCUCCCCGAAAUAGCUUUAGGGCUAGCCUCAAGGUGAGAGAUACGGAGGUAGAGCACUGAAUGUCCUAGGGGGUAUUGCACCUACCGAAGACUAUCAAACUCCGAAUGCCGUCAUCUUAUACUUGGGAGUCAGACUGUGGGUGAUAAGAUUCAUAGUCGAAAGGGCAACAGCCCAGAUCGUCAGCUAAGGUCCCUAAAUGUAAGUUAAGUGGUAAAGGAUGUGGGAUUGCACAGACAACCAGGAUGUUGGCUUAGAAGCAGCCACUCAUUCAAAGAGUGCGUAAUAGCUCACUGGUCGAGUGAUCCUGCGCCGAAGAUUUCCGGGGCUAAAACUUACUACCGAAGCUACGGCAUCAGUAAUGAUGGGUAGGGGAGCUUCCCAUACGGGUUGAAGCAUGACCGUAAGGACAUGUGGACAGUAUGGGAGUGAGAAUGUUGGCAUGAGUAGCGAGAUGUGGGUGAGAAUCCCACAGGCCGUAAACCCAAGGUUUCCAGGGGAAGGUUCGUCCGCCCUGGGUUAGUCGGGACCUAAGCUGAGGCCGAAAGGCGUAGGUGAUGGACAACAGGUUGAUAUUCCUGUACUACCGAUAACCGUUUGAGAGAAGGGAUGACACAGUAGGAUAAGCUAAGCACACUGUUGGUUAUGUGUGCCCAAGCAUUGAGGCAGUCAAAGUAGGCAAAUCCGCUUUGAUAAUGCUGGGAUGUGAUGGGGAGCGAAAUUUAGUAGCGAAGUAGCUGAUUUCACACUGUCAAGAAAAGUCUCUAUCGAGGUUAAAGGUACCCGUACCGCAAACCGACACAGGUGGGUGAGGAGAGUAUCCUAAGGCCAGCGAGAGAACUGUUGUUAAGGAACUCGGCAAAAUGACCCCGUAACUUAGGGAUAAGGGGUGCCACCAUCAGGUGGCCGCAGAGAAUAGGCCCAAGCGACUGUUUACCAAAAACAUAGGUUUCUGCUAAGUCGCAAGACGAUGUAUAGGAGCUGACGCCUGCCCGGUGCUGGAAGGUUAAGGGGAUCUGUUAGAGCAAUCGAAGCAGUGAACUUAAGCCCCAGUAAACGGCGGCCGUAACUAUAACGGUCCUAAGGUAGCGAAAUUCCUUGUCGGGUAAGUUCCGACCCGCACGAAAGGCGUAACGAUUUGGGCACUGUCUCAACAACAGACUCGGUGAAAUUGUAAUUCCGGUGAAGAUGCCGGAUACCUGCGACAGGACGGAAAGACCCCAUGGAGCUUUACUGUAGCUUGACAUUGGGUCUUGGUACUACAUGUACAGGAUAGGUGGGAGGCUUUGAAACCAGGACGCCAGUUUUGGCGGAGCCAUCCUUGGGAUACCACCCUUGUAGUACUGGGACUCUAACCAUAGGCCAUGAAUCUGGUCUUGGGACACUGUCAGGUGGGCAGUUUGACUGGGGCGGUCGCCUCCCAAAAGGUAACGGAGGCGCUCAAAGGUUCUCUCAGUACGGUCGGAAAUCGUACGUAGAGUGUAAAGGCAAAAGAGAGCUUGAUUGCAAGACAUACAGGUCGAGCAAGGAUGAAAAUCGGACUUAGUGAUCCGGUGGUUCUGCGUGGAAGGGCCAUCGCUCAACGGAUAAAAGCUACCCUGGGGAUAACAGGCUUAUCUCCCCCAAGAGUCCACAUCGACGGGGAGGUUUGGCACCUCGAUGUCGGCUCAUCACAUCCUGGGGCUGUAGUAGGUCCCAAGGGUUGGGCUGUUCGCCCAUUAAAGUGGUACGCGAGCUGGGUUCAGAACGUCGUGAGACAGUUCGGUCCCUAUCCGUCGCAGGCGUAGGAAAUUUGAGAAGACCUGUCCUUAGUACGAGAGGACCGGGAUGGACGUACCUCUGGUGUACCAGUUGUUCUGCCAAGGGCAUGGCUGGGUAGCUAUGUACGGAAUGGAUAAGCGCUGAAAGCAUCUAAGCGCGAAGCCAACUUCAAGAUAAGAUUUCCCACCGCAAGGGUAAGACCCCAGAAAGACUAUCUGGUUGAUAGGUCGAAAGUGUAAGUGCAGCAAUGUAUUUAGCUUAUCGAUACUAAUAGGUCGAGGACUUGACCAAU